rnacentral:rRNA from 1 species
UACGUAGGUGGCAAGCGUUGUCCGGAUUUACUGGGCGUAAAGAGCGCGCAGGCGGUUGAUUAAGUCGAAUGUGAAAGCCCCCGGCUCAACUGGGGAGGGUCAUUCGAUACUGAUCGACUCGAAGGCAGGAGAGGGUAGUGGAAUUCCCGGUGUAGUGGUGAAAUGCGUAGAUAUCGGGAGGAACACCAGUGGCGAAGGCGACUACCUGGCCUGUUUCUUGACGCUGAGGCGCGAAAGCUAGGGGAGCAAACGGG